UCCUGCAGGUUUCUGUUUUAAAUCUGCACUGGUUUGCUUUGUGUCCACCCUUAUUACAUCGGUAACACAGUUCACUUCUUUGCAUUAUUUUCUUUGCUUUACUCACUGCAAACAUUUUGUUCACCGACAUUUUUACUCCUGACCGCAACUCCACCGUGUCUCUGGCAGCUGUUUCCAUGGCUACGGCAAUUUCAACUGCACGUUUGAAAGUGAGAUCAGCCUCCGUGAGCAAUCUCUUCUGAAUACUCUCUUGUAAAAUGCCACAGACUAGACGAUCUCUCAGCGCAUCAUUCAGUCCAUCCCCAAACUGACAGUGUUCAGAUAACUUUUUCAGCUCAGCUACGUACGCUGCGAUUGACUCUCCUUCGUUCUGAUUUCGCUUGUGAAAUCUGAAUCGUUCUGCUAUGAGAUGGUCUUGCAUCGUUUUUACAAUGUUGUCGAAGCUGACAUCAGCAGGCUUUGCAGGUGCAGUGAGGCUUCUCAGCAAUGCAUAUGCUUUUCCUCCAAUUGCACUCAACAACACAGACACACGCUUUUCAUUUCCAAUAUCGUUGGCUUUGAAAUACUGCUCCAUUCGUUCACAAUACAUUGUCCAAUCAUCCGUCCCACUGUCAAAAGCGUCAAGUUUUCCAAUAUAACCAGCCAGUUUGCACAAAGCGCUUCGGCGUCUUUAUCAUGUCCGUGUAAACCUCGUAGCCAAUUGUUGUGUUUGUGCGUGAUAAAAACUCAAUAAAGAGUCUAAACACGGGCGGGCAUUUCUUCUUAUUUUUCUUUACUGAACUGUCUGCAGUAAUGAAGCCGGAGACUUACGAGAAAAAAAGGAUGGCCAACAAAACACUAACUCAGUAUCAAUACAAAGAGUGGCCAACUAAUAUAUAUUCCUGAGUUCUAUCCAAUACACUACAACCUAAACUACAACAAAAGAUAGAAAAUAAAUCUUCAGCGUCCAGGACGCUCUAACUACCUACUCUAACUAGCCAAACCAAAAGUACAGAGGGUGGUGCUCGCUCCUAACCUAGUGUGUCUAAUACAGAACGGACCUCCUACGUGCUGCACCAUGUAUGUCACGUGACGUACUUACCUGCCCACUUUUCCCCAACACUAACAGAGUCACAACUAGGGUAACAAACAAAUUAACCAUACAAACAAGUGACUAGAACAAAGCGGGGAAACAUGGAACAACUGACAUACAAGGACAAACAGUAAGGCAGCGUAACUUUACACAGAACAAACAGAGAUACAACAGGGUUUUAGUUUUACGCAACCAGGACAACAACGUCUUCUCCAUGAAUGAAUGGCAGCGGGUUUUAAAUAGGCGGGGUCAGAGGUUGAUUGGAUGUCACGGCCGAUGACAUCAGCGGGGUUAAUUGAGACAGACAGGAACGUUAUCCAAUCAGGCAACCGCUGCAGAGAGAGAGAGAGAGAGAGAGAGAGAGAGAGAGAGAGAGAACAAAACACAAAAAACACGCGGACAUACCCCAGAACGUAACAUAUGUUAAUAUUUUUUCUUUAGUCUACAUAACUGAUUCUGUCGGUAAUCAUUACAGCCUUAUCACUGAUCAUGACUGACACCAGAAGUUUAAAGGCCUGUUUAAUGGCAUCAUCAGUGUUUCUCAGUUCAGGUUGAGAAUCACUGCUCAACAUACUUUAGAUGUUUUACCCAAUACAGCUGUGUAGCUAAUAAAAUAUCAAAUUAAAUUUGACCUUUGUGAUGUGUAUGGUCUGUUUAUUUUAGUUAUAGAGUCAUAUUAGCUUGCUAACUUAGUCACGGCUAAUGGACUCAGUAUCCACAGACUCUGUACGUGUUUGUAAUUGUGUUUUUAUGUUUUCUUCCUGCAUUCCACUGCACAAAGAAUCACCCACACAGCCAGCUGCCACAGAUGAUGGAGGAAUGAACUCUUCUCCCACUCUGAUGAUGGUCGUAUCCCUCCUCUUAUUAGCCAGUCAUUUCAGCACAAUAACAUGACAGGCAUACUUUAUGUUGAUUUUUUCCUUCAUUCUUCUUAUUAGGCAAAUGUCGGUCAGAUUUUGUGAACAGUUCAGCUUGAGGUAUGAGAGUGUACUGUUACCAGUUGCUGGUGUUUCUUUUACACUGGGUAACGAUUUGGCAGGGAGUAAAGUACUUUCCCUUCCUGAAGUGACCCGUUCACUACAAGUGAAGGUGUCCUUACCCAGCAGUAUCCCUAGUGUUCCCUACUUGUUCUUCAUGUGAACAGCUUGAACUUGAACUAGGUGUGCGGUUACGCCUGAUGGGAAGCUCUGGUACGUUAUGUUAGGUGAUGACUGUUGACUUCAUCUGUCACUGCUCAUUACUAUAUACUAAAAUUCUUGCAUGUUUGUACAUUUCUACCUUUUUAUUUCAUAUUUUUCAUGAUUGUAUUUUUGUCUGUACUUUAUUCCUUUGUAUGUUGCGGCCAGUCCUUCGGUGCUUGGCCCCCUAAUAACAAUAAUACAUUCUCUUAAAAGAUGUUUUAGUAAAUGUAUUUUUAUUUGGAUUAAUGCUUUGUAGUGUCUCUUUAAACUCACCAUUUUUAAAUGUAAAGGAUUAUAAAAACAUUUAGCCUGUACACUCAUAAA